rnacentral:rRNA from 1 species
GAUGAACGCUAGCUACAGGCUUAACACAUGCAAGUCGAGGGGCAGCAUCAUCAAAGACUUGCUUUGAUGGAUGGCGACCGGCGCACGGGUGAGUAACACGUAUCCAACCUGCCGACAACACUGGGAUAGCCUUUCGAAAGAAGAUUAAUACCGGAUGGCAUAGUUUUCCCGCAUGGGAUAAUUAUUAAAGAAUUUCGGUUGUCGAUGGGAGUGCGUUUCAUUAGGCAGUUGGCGGGGUAACGGCCCACCAAACCUACGAUGGAUAGGGGUUCUGAGAGGAAGGUCCCCCACAUUGGAACUGAGACACGGUCCAAACUCCUACGGGAGGCAGCAGUGAGGAAUAUUGGUCAAUGGACGAGAGUCUGAACCAGCCAAGUAGCGUGAAGGAUGACUGCCCUAUGGGUUGUAAACUUCUUUAUACGGGAAUAAAGUGAGCCACGUGUGGCUUUUUGUAUGUACCGUAUGAAUAAGGAAUCGGCUAACUCCGUG